rnacentral:rRNA from 1 species
GGGCCCGCACAAGCGGUGGAGCAUGUGGUUUAAUUCGAUGAUACGCGAGGAACCUUACCAGGGCUUAAAUGUAACGGGACAGAUCUAGAGAUAGAUCCUUCUUCGGACUCAUUACAAGGUGCUGCAUGGUUGUCGUCAGCUCGUGCCGUGAGGUGUCAGGUUAAGUCCUAUAACGAGCGCAACCCCCAUCGUUAGUUGCCAACGAGUAAUGUCGGGAACUCUAACGAAACUGCCGGUGCAAACCGUGAGGAAGGUGGGGAUGACGUCAAAUCAUCACGGCCCUUACGUCCUGGGCUACACACGUGCUACAAUGGUCGGUACAGAGAGCAGCCACUACGCGAGUAGGAGCAAAUCUUCAAAGCCGAUCUCAGUUCGGAUUGUAGGCUGCAACUCGCCUACAUGAAGGUGGAAUCGCUAGUAA